rnacentral:rRNA from 1 species
ACUCAAAGGAAUUGACGGGGGCCCGCACAAGCAGCGGAGCGUGUGGUUUAAUUCGAUGCAACGCGAAGAACCUUACCAGGGCUUGACAUGGCGCUUACAGCGGUCGAAAGGCCGCGGCCGCGAGGCGUGCGUCACAGGUGCUGCAUGGCUGUCGUCAGCUCGUGCCGUGAGGUGUUGGGUUAAGUCCCGCAACGAGCGCAACCCCCGGGCUUAGUUAGGUUCCUAAGCCGACUGCCGGGACCAACCCGGAGGAAGGUGGGGAUGACGUCAAGUCAGCACGGCCCUCACGUCCUGGGCCACACACACGCUACAAUGGCCGGUACAGCGGGCGGUGCGAAGCCGCGAGGCGGAGCGAAUCCCUGCAAAGCCGGCCCCAGUGCAGAUCGGGGGCUGCAACUCGCCCCCGUGAAGUCGGAGUUGCUAGUAACCGCGGGUCAGCACACCGCGGUGAAUACGUUCCCGGGCCUUGUACACACCGCCCGU